rnacentral:ncRNA from 1 species
UCUUGAUUAAAAUACUAUUUAGGUCGGCCAGUGAGACGGUGGGGGAUAAGCUUCAUCGUCGAGAGGGAAACAGCCCGGAUCACCAGCUAAGGCCCCUAAAUUACUGCUCAGUGAUAAAGGAGGUGGGGGGUGCAAAGACAGCUAGGAGGUUUGCCUAGAAGCAGCCACCCUUUAAAGAGUGCGUAAUAGCUCAUUGAUCGAGCGCCCUUGCGCUGAAGAUGAGCGGGGCUAAGCGAUCUGCCGAAACUGUGGGAUGUGAAAAUGCAUCGGUAGGGGAGCGUUCCGCCUUAGAGGGAAGCAACCGCGAAAGCGGGGGUUGACGAAGUGGAAGCA